ensembl:lncRNA
CCACAGCAAAGCUGAGAAGCACUGAACCCGCUUUAGUAAAAGAAUUAGGAUCAGAAGAUUAAAAGAAGCUGUCGGUGAACAACGUUUUCAUACAGUCAGUCUGGGCUGGGACAUGGAUGGGAAGCAGUGACUCUAAUGCAAAUCAUUCCUCAUCACAGGAGACUAAAGUAGGAGUUGACAGUGGAGGACAGAAGAAGCCACACCAGGCGUUGUGGCUGCCAGGUCCGUGUGGUCUUCAGGGAAGUGCAGGCUCUGAUCUGCUCCAAGCGGUGCCAGCCUUCUAGACUUUCUGUCCCCGCCAUUGGUCCAGUCAUGGGCUCAGCCUGGGAGCCCAGCUCCCUGGGCAGCCAAUGAUGUAAUCUGAUACAGUGAGCUGAGGGCAGAUGGUCCACCUCAGGAUGGAGCUGCCAAAAAGGACACUUUGGAGAGGAUGAGUUGAGACCUUACAAUUCUGUGAGGAUGUAUUGCUUUGAAAAAGACAGCAUGACAGCUCGAGUCCGAGCACUGCCACUUGGAGGAUGUGUCCUGGGAAAGUCUCUAAUCUACAUCCUCCAAUACAAUGUUGAAUAGAAAUGGCAAGAGCAGACGUCCUUGUCUUGUUCCUGGUCUUUGGGGAAAAGCAUUCAGUCUUUCAACCUGAAGUGUGAUGGUAGCUGUGGGUUUUCACAGAUGCCCUCUAUCAGGUGGAGGAAGUUCCAUUAUAUUCCUAGUGUGUGGACAGUUUUUAUCAUGAAUGGGAAUUGGAUUUUUCAAAUGAUUCAUUUAUAUCCAUUGAGAGGAUCAUGUGGUUUUUGUUAUAUAUUCAGUUAAUAUGGUUAUGAGAUUAAUUGAUUUUUGAUUGUUAAAUCAACUGUUUACAUCUGGGAUGAAUCUCACUUGACCAUGUUUAUAAUCCAUUAUGUAUGUUUCUGGAUUCAAUUUGCUAAUAUUUUCUUCAGGAUUUUUCUACCUAAACUCAUGAUUUUGUACCUACUGGUCCAUAUAUUUCUUAUUAUGACUUUGGCUUUGAUGUCAGUGUAAUGCUGGUCUCAGAGAACACAUUGGGAAGAGUUCCCAACCCCUGUAUUUUCUGAAUGAAUCAUUGUGAAGGAUAAAUAUUAUUCCUUCUUUAAAUGUUUGGUAGAUUUUCCAAUGAAACCGUCGGGGCCAGAGAUUUUCUUUGCGGGAAGAUUUUGAUUACUAAUUUAACUUCUUUGCUUAUUAAAUAUAGGUCUAUUCAGAUAUUUUACUUAUUCUUGAGCCUAUUUUGGUAAUUUGUGCCUUUAUUGGAAUUCAUCAGUUUCUUCUAAGUUAUCUAGUUUGUUGACAUAAAUUAUUUAUACUAUUUCCCUAUAAUCCUUUUUAAUUUCUGUAAGAUUGGUAGUGAUGUUCUUCCUUUUUUUCUUGACUUUGUUAAUUUGUGUCUUCUCUCAUUCUUCUUGGUACUUCUACCUUGAGGUUUGUAAAAUUUGUUGAUAUUUUCAAAGAACUGACUUUUGUGUUCAUUGAUGUUUUUCUCUUGUUUUCUGUUUUCUAUUUCAAUUAUUUCCAUUUCAAUUUUUAUUACUUCCUUUACUCGGCUUGGGCUGGGUUUAGCUUGUUUUGCUUUUUCAUGGUUGAUUUUAGAUCUUCUUUUGAUACAGCAUUUAAAGUCAUAAAUUUCCCCCUAGGCAUUGUUUUACCAACAUGUUAUAAAUUUUGAAGUAUUGUGUUUUCAUGCAUUCCUGGGUUUCAGCACGUUGCCUAUGAUGUGUCUACAUGUGGAUCUCUUUUUAUAUACACUAAUAAGUGCUUGUUUAGCUUAUUAGAUGUGUAGAUUAGUAUUUCUCAACAAAUUUGGGGAGUUGUGGCCAUUACUUUUUCAAACAGAUUUCCUUCUUCUUCCUUUUCUCUUCUUCUGUGAGUGCCAUUAUAUGUACGUUGGUGUGGUUUAUUUUGUCUCACAGGUCUCCAAGCUCUGAUUUUUUUUCAUUCUUU